rnacentral:rRNA from 1 species
GAUGAACGCUGGCGGCGUGCCUAAUACAUGCAAGUCGAGCGAAUUGACAGAGGUGCUUGCACCUCUCGAUUUUAGCGGCGGACGGGUGAGUAACACGUGGGUAACCUACCUAUAAGACUGGGAUAACUUCGGGAAACCGGAGCUAAUACCGGAUAAUAUUUAGCUUCGCAUGAAGCAAUAGUGAAAGACGGUUCUGCUGUCACUUAUAGAUGGACCUGCGGUGUAUUAGCUAGUUGGUGAGGUAACGGCUCACCAAGGCAACGAUACAUAGCCGACCUGAGAGGGUGAUCGGCCACACUGGGACUGAGACACGGCCCAGACUCCUACGGGAGGCAGCAGUAGGGAAUCUUCCGCAAUGGACGAAAGUCUGACGGAGCAACGCCGCGUGAGUGAAGAAGGUUUUCGGAUCGUAAAACUCUGCUGUAAGGGAAGAACAAGUACGUUAGUAACUGAACGUACCUUGACGGUACCUUACCAGAAAGCCACGGCUAACUACGUGCCAGCAGCCGCCGUAA